UGCCAUAUGACCAUGCCUUUGAAAAUAGGUAUUCAUAAAAUUAAGAAAAUGUUUUUUAUACUUAUCGUAGGAAACUGACUGAGGCCAUCAACAUGCAUCAGUCAAACCAGGAAGUGAAUCUGGAUCAGGAUUCCUCUGACCACAACACUGACAGUGGCUCAGAAGACACACAUGAUGAUGGUGGUGGGAUGAAUAAUCUGGAUCAGGAUUCCUUUGACAACAGAUCUGAAAAUGCACAUGAUGGUGAUGACAUUACA